AGUGAACGCUGGCGGUAGGCCUAACACAUGCAAGUCGAACGGCAGCACAGUAAGAGCUUGCUCUUACGGGUGGCGAGUGGCGGACGGGUGAGGAAUACAUCGGAAUCUACUUUUUCGUGGGGGAUAACGUAGGGAAACUUACGCUAAUACCGCAUACGACCUACGGGUGAAAGCAGGGGAUCUUCGGACCUUGCGCGAUUGAAUGAGCCGAUGUCGGAUUAGCUAGUUGGCGGGGUAAAGGCCCACCAAGGCGACGAUCCGUAGCUGGUCUGAGAGGAUGAUCAGCCACACUGGAACUGAGACACGGUCCAGACUCCUAAGGGAGGCAGCAGUGGGGAAUAUUGGACAAUGGGCGCAAGCCUGAUCCAGCCAUACCGCGUGGGUAAAGAAGGCCUUCGGGUUGUAAAGCCCUUUUGUUGGGAAAGAAAAGCAGCAGGUUAAUACCCCGCUGUUCUGACGGUACCCAAAGAAUAAGCACCGGCUAACUUCGUG
rnacentral:rRNA from 1 species